rnacentral:rRNA from 1 species
AUUGAACGCUGGCGGCAGGCCUAACACAUGCAAGUCGAGCGGAAGGGGCUUCGGCCCCGAGUGCGGCGGACGGGUGAGGUUAGCGUGGGAAUCUGCCUGUAGAUGGGGGAUAGCCCGGAGAAAUCCGGAUUAAUACCGCAUAAUACCUGAGGGUUAAAGUGGAGGAUCGCAAGACUUCACGUCUACAGAUGAGCCCACGUCAGAUUAGCUAGUUGGUAGGGUAAAGGCCUACAAAGGCGACGAUCUGUAGCUGGCCUGAGAGGGUGGCCAGCCACAAUGGAACUGAGACACGGUCCAGACUACUACGGGAGGCAGCAGUGGGGAAUAUUGGACAAUGGGCGAAAGCCUGAGCCAGCCAGGCCGCGUGGGUGAAGAAGGCCUUCGGGUUGUAAAGCACUGUAAGUUGGGAGGAAGGUUCCAAGGCUAAUACCUUUGGGAAUUGACGCUACCGACAGAAUAAGCACCGGCUAAUUCCGUGCCAGCCGCCGCAGUAA